rnacentral:rRNA from 1 species
UGGCGAACGGGUGAGUAACACGUGGGUGAUCUGCCCUGCACUUCGGGAUAAGCCUGGGAAACUGGGUCUAAUACCGGAUAGGACCACAUUUUGGGAUGGUGUGGUGGAGAGUUUUUCGGUGUGGGAUGAGCUCGCGGCCUAUCAGCUUGUUGGUGGGGUAAUGGCCUACCAAGGCGUCGACGGGUAGCCGGCCUGAGAGGGUGUACUGCCACAUUGGGACUGAGAUACGGCCCAG